GGGGCCGCAACGACCCGCAGGAUUGGGUCCCCGACCUGGCAUACGCGUGUGUACGGCGGCUUGGGUGCUCCCCGCACAAGACGCCGCAGGGAAAGCCAGAGUGACAGGCUCAAGGCUUGACUCUUCCACCGGGAGUUCUGAUGCUGGAGCUGUGGGCUCCGGCACUGGCUCCUUUUCAUCUAGACAGAAAACCACCUCUCUCUUCGGCAGGAUGAAGGCGAGCGGCUCCUGGACGACGCUGAUGUUCACAUGUCCAAGGUUUCCGUACUUGGAGAGCUGAGUGGGUGGAAUGCCUGACCCAGAUGGUAGGCAAAGUGAAAUGGAAAAAACAUUUAACAAGUGUAUAUACUGAUGUGUUACAGGAAAAAAACUGUGGAAGUAACUGACACAAUUACCGUAUUUCAAUAUAAUAAGUGACAUUGGACAGGAUUCUAUACUGUAAAGCAAGACUUUGAAGGUAAUCCAGAACAGCACUGCAGGGCAGAUGGAGUAAGGGGAGUAAGAGCCAAGAGAACCUCAGUAGGCACAGGCUUCCUGUGUCAGGCCCAAGAGAAAUGCUGGGUCCAGCGGGAAGUGAGGGGUGGGGCGGAAGUGGGGAGCGGCCACUCUUUGCUUGUGUGAGCACUGGCCCACUGCCUUUUGGGAAGUUCCAUCUCCCCCAUUCUCCACACCCCCCCCCCCCCCCCCCGCCCCCAGGGCAGAGAGUGAAUAUAGGAAAGUGAGGGCAAGCUGGGAAAUCAUACAAUAUGUGGUUCUUUUGUGAUUAGCUUCUUCCACUUAGCCAGAUAUACACAUAUUAUAUAAUUCCAUUUAUAUGAAAUGUCCAGAAAAAGCAAAUCUAUUGCAUCAGAAAGUAGAUAAAUGGUUGCUGGGGGCUAAAAAUGGGACAAGAGAAUGAUUACUGGGCGUGAGGGAUCUUUUUGGCGUGAUGGAAAUGUUCUAUAAUUGGAUGGUAGUAAUGGUUGUACACCUCUGUUCAUUUACUAAAGCAUAUUGAAUUUUACAAAUGGGUGAAUUAAUUAUGUGAAUUAUAUCAAUAAAGUAGCUUUAAGGGUCUUUUCUGCUUUCUCUUACCUAAUGUCUGUGCUAUCUGAGCUGGUGG